rnacentral:misc_RNA from 1 species
GAUGAAGAACGUAGCGAAAUGCGAUAAGUAGUGUGAAUUGCAGAAUUCAGUGAAUCAUCGAAUCUUUGAACGCACAUUGCGCCCCUUGGUAUUCCAUGGGGCAUGCCUGUUCGAGCGUCAUUUGUACCCUCAAGCUUUGCUUGGUGUUGGGCGUCUUGUCUUGUAUUAGACUCGCCUUAAAGUCAUUGGCAGCCAGUGUUUUUGGUAGUAAGCGCAGCACAUUUUGCGUCUUAGUCCUUGAAUCGUGGCAUCCAUGAAGCUUUUUUUCACUUUUGACCUCGGAUCAGGUAGGGAUACCCGCUGAACUUAAGCAUAUCAAUAAGCGGAGGA